rnacentral:rRNA from 1 species
UACAGAGGUCUCAAGCGUUGUUCGGAUUCAUUGGGCGUAAAGGGUGCGUAGGCGGCGCGGUAAGUCGGGUGUGAAAUCUCGGAGCUUAACUCCGAAACUGCAUUCGAUACUGCCGUGCUUGAGGACUGGAGAGGAGACUGGAAUUUACGGUGUAGCGGUGAAAUGCGUAGAUAUCGGGAGGAACACCAGUAGCGAAGGCGACACUCUGGGCCGGUACUGACGCUGAGGAGCGAAAGCGUGGGGAGCAAACAGGAUUAGAAACCCUGGAUACGUC